rnacentral:tRNA from 1 species
GGCACGUAGCUCAGUUGGUUAGAGCACCACCUUGACAUGGUGGGGGUCGUUGGUUCGAGUC